AUUGAACGCUGGCGGCAGGCUUAACACAUGCAAGUCGAACGGUAGCAGGAGAAAGCUUGCUUUCUUGCUGACGAGUGGCGGACGGGUGAGUAAUACUUGGGAAUCUGGCUUAUGGAGGGGGAUAACUACGGGAAACUGUAGCUAAUACCGCGUAGUAUCGGAAGAUGAAAGUGCGGGACCGUAAGGCCGCAUGCCAUAGGAUGAGCCCAAGUGGGAUUAGGUAGUUGGUGGGGUAAAGGCCUACCAAGCCUGCGAUCUCUAGCUGGUCUGAGAGGAUGGCCAGCCACACUGGAACUGAGACACGGUCCAGACUCCUACGGGAGGCAGCAGUGGGGAAUAUUGCGCAAUGGGGGGAACCCUGACGCAGCCAUGCCGCGUGAAUGAAGAAGGCCUUCGGGUUGUAAAGUUCUUUCGGUAUUGAGGAAGGUUGAUGUGUUAAUAGUACAUCAAAUUGACGUUAAAUACAGAAGAAGCACCGGCUAACUCCGUGCCAGCAGCCGCGGUAAUACGGAGGGUGCGAGCGUUAAUCGGAAUAACUGGGCGUAAAGGGCACGCAGGCGGUUAUUUAAGUGAGGUGUGAAAGCCCCGGGCUUAACCUGGGAAUUGCAUUUCAGACUGGGUAACUAGAGUACUUUAGGGAGGGGUAGAAUUCCACGUGUAGCGGUGAAAUGCGUAGAGAUGUGGAGGAAUACCGAAGGCGAAGGCAGCCCCUUGGGAAUGUACUGACGCUCAUGUGCGAAAGCGUGGGGAGCAAACAGG
rnacentral:rRNA from 1 species